UAUAGCUAGCCACUCCGCUGUCUCCUUGAUUCAAUAUUAAAUGCAUUAAUGUUGUGCUUCAAUUCAAAAUGUUCAAUUACAGCCCACACAUCCUUACUCUCCGCAUCAGUUUAUGGUGAUUUUUCAAAACCCUCAUCCAUCGAUAUGUGUUUCUUCUGGCGUCGUCCUCCUCGACACGCCUAAAAGCACCGUCCUCCUUGCGUCUUCACCUUUCUCUCGCCAUUGUCUGCACUAUGCUGUCUUUAUCCUGAAAUUUUCAGCCUUCUAACACGCCCCAACGCCGUCGUCCUCCACGCAUCAUCUCCCUUCUCUCGCCUCCUUGCACCGUUAUCUUUGCUAUUGUGAUUGCUCUGCUUUCGUUCGAUUUCGUUUUGUUUUGAUUUUUAUUUAAUAUUAUGUUCAAUUGAACAGGUGAGAGAUUUGCGACAUUUUUGUGGAUCAAUGACGUCAAUCGCAAUCAAUUUGACUUAUUGAAUCACAUGACAAGGGUGGAGAAAGUGAGUUCAAAAGUUAAAAAGGAUUUCAAAGUUAUUGAUAGAAUGAAAUAUAGCUUCAGCCUUGUGAGAAAUGUUAAGAUCCAUUACAAAGGGACUAAGCUUACUUAGCACUAUGUCACCUGCGAAUCAAGUUCUUUGGAGAACUUGCAGUAGGCUUCACUCAUGUGAUGCAUUAAACAGAAUGUGCGGCUAUAUAACAUUGUUAGGAACAUACUGAUGGCGGUGCAUCUCUUGCAGUUCCAUCGUUGUAACCAUGGCCAAUUUAUGCACCCGAAACUCAACUUUCAAUGCUGAGAGUGGCAGCGGUACUGCAACCCUACAACCCUCCUUCACAACACUUUGGCUUUUGAGAAUAUCACCAUUUUGAAAGUCGCGGCAUCAUUCCUGACUUCCUGUGAUGUAUCCCAAGUGUCCAUAAAGCUCUAUAAUUAAAGGAUGGAGGCUCAAAUUGCCAUGGGAAAUAUGUUCAUGACUCAUGAGGUGCAUAAUUGAAAAACUUUCUAGCUACAGGGAAGAUAGACAGUGACAUUUGUGGUUGUUCACUUUUUGAAGGCAACUGUUCUGGUGGAUUUUUUUUCUGGUGGAUUUUUCUUUUGAGUGUCAUGCUUUUCUUAUCUUCUUAAAAGACCGAGAGUGAAGAAUAAUGUUAGGUUUACGAGUAUAGCCGAAAAAGGCUGUGGUGAAUUGGUAGGGACAAAUGCAUGCUUUAUGAGAAGAUUUUUCUAUUGUAUUCUUUAA